UACGGAGGGGGCUAUCGUUGUUCGGAAUUAUUGGGCGUAAAGGGCGCGUAGGCGGCUUGGCAAGUGGAUGGUGAAAUCCCUCGGCUUAACCGAGGAACUGCCGUCCAAACUGCUUCGCUUGAGACCGGGAGAGGUGAGUGGAAUUCCCAGUGUAGCGGUGAAAUGCGUAGAUAUUGGGAGGAACACCAGUGGCGAAGGCGGCUCACUGGACCGGUACUGACGCUGAUGCGCGAAAGCGUGGGGAGCAAACAGG
rnacentral:rRNA from 1 species